rnacentral:rRNA from 1 species
ACUCCGGUUGAUCCUGCCGGACCCGACCGCUAUCGGGGUAGGGCUAAGCCAUGGGAGUCGAACGCCCCGCCGCUGCGGGGCGUGGCGGACGGCUGAGUAACACGUGGCUAACCUACCCUCGGGACGGGGAUAACCCCUCGGGAAACUGGGGCUAAUCCCCGAUAGGCGGGGGGUGCCUGGAAGGGUCCUCCGCCGAAAGGGGCCGCGGGGGGUUAUCGCCCGCGGUCCGCCCGAGGAUGGGGCUGCGGCCCAUCACGGUAGUUGGCGGGGUAAUGGCCCGCCAAGCCUACGACGGGUAGGGGCCGUGAGAGCGGGAGCCCCCAGAUGGGCACUGAGACAAGGGCCCAGGCCCUACGGGGCGCACCAGGCGCGAAAACUCCGCAAUGCGGGCAACCGUGACGGGGCUACCCCGAGUGCCCCCCUUGGGGGGGCUUUUCCCCGCUGUAAGUAGGCGGGGGAAUAAGCGGGGGGCAAGACUGGUGUCAGCCGCCGCGGUAAUACCAUCCCCGCGAGCGGUCGGGGUGCUUACUGGGCCUAAAGCGCCCGUAGCCGGCUCGACAAGUCCCCGCCUAAAGCCCCGGGCUCAACCCGGGGAGUGGCGGGGAUACUGUCGGGCUAGGGGGCGGGAGAGGCCGAGGGUACUCCCGGGGUAGGGGCGAAAUCCAUUAAUCCCGGGAGGACCACCAGUGGCGAAGGCGCUCGGCUGGAACGCGCCCGACGGUGAGGGGCGAAAGCCGGGGGAGCGAACCGGAUUAGAUACCCGGGUAGUCCCGGCUGUAAACGAUGCGGGCUAGGUGUUGGGCGGGCGUGCGAGCCCGCCCAGUGCCGCAGGGAAGCCGUUAAGCCCGCCGCCUGGGGAGUACGGCCGCAAGGCUGAAACUUAAAGGAAUUGGCGGGGGAGCACCACAAGGGGUGGAGCCUGCGGCUUAAUUGGAGUCAACGCCGGGAACCUCCACCGGGGGCGACAGCAGGAUGACGGCCAGGCUGAAGGCCUUGCCCGAUGCGCUGAGGGGAGGUGCAUGGCCGUCGCCAGCUCGUGCCGUGAGGUGUCCUGUUAAGUCAGGCAACGAGCGAGACCCCCGCCCCUAGUUGCCAUCCCCGGGGCGACCCGGGGGGCACACUAGGGGGACUGCCGCCGCUAAGGCGGAGGAAGGAGGGGGCAACGGCAGGUCAGCAUGCCCCUAAACCCCCGGGCUGCACGCGGGCUACAAUGGCGGGGACAGCGGGUGCCGACCCCGAAAGGGGGAGGCAAUCCCUCAAACCCCGCCUCAGUUGGGAUCGAGGGCUGCAACUCGCCCUCGUGAACGUGGAAUCCCUAGUAACCGCGCGUCAUCAUCGCGCGGUGAAUACGUCCCUGCUCCUUACACACACUGCCCGUCGCUCCACCCGAGGGGGGAGGGGGUGAGGCCCUCUCCGCCGGGAGGGGGUCGAACCCCCUCCCCCCGAGGGGGGAGAAGUCGUAACAAGGUAGCCGUAGGGGAACCUGCGGCUGGAUCACCUC